UUCAUUAAUAUCUGGUAUAAUCUAGGGUACUAAGUGUAGCUUCAUAUGCAUGGAUUGUGGAUGAGUUCCUGUAGGUUAUUGACAUGAAUUUGGUUUCAUAUUUUAGCUCACAUUUUUUGUUUUUCUCUUUAGGGCUUGUCAUACGCAUUGACAUAGGCAUUGGCACCGGUAUUGGUAUUGUAGUUCUUGUUGCAGUUGCUGCAAUUAUACCUUUGGCAAUUUUGAAGAAUACUAGGAUGAAGGUCGGUACUAGAUAACGGCUUACAAAUUAACAGACAUAAUAUUGGAAGAAAAGAAUGGAAAAGUUAGGAAAUAAGCUUCAUACAUUUGCACUGAAUUUCUGUAGUGAAAAUAGAACCCUCUCAGGCAACCAGAGUUCAUAGAUUCACAGAUACUAAGGUCAGAAGAAGGGACCAUUAUGAUCAUCUGGUCUGACCUCCUGCACAACACAGGCCACAGAAUCUCACCCACCCACUCCUGCGAAAAACCUCUUA